rnacentral:tmRNA from 1 species
GGGGAUGUAAAGGUUUCGACGGGGAUUUUGAACCUUGGUAAGCGGGUAGCGGUGUGGAACCGCUUUAAAAUCCACAACUUAAAUUUAAACGGCAAAACUGAAAAGUUAGCUUUAGCAGCUUAAUUAAUGCUGCUUGUCCUGUUUAAGAGCACCACGGCUUAAGCAAGGGCAUCGAUUAAGUGGUAAAUGUGAACCGGGGAAUGUUCCGGCCCCGGUCACACAUCAGGAACUACCAACGCGUAAAGCUUGUUAUUGGGCGCUGCGCCGAGGGAAUUUAAAUCAAUAACUACACUCGUAGAAAGCCUUGAGGAUGAAUUUUCGGACAGGAGUUCAAUUCUCCUCAUCUCCACCA